GGAGUGGCGGCCAUUAACACGCGGAGUUACGCUGUGAGGAGGUGGAAUGGGGCAGCCCCACAGCCCUGGGACGUAAAUCCGAGGUGUUGGGAUGGCAGAGAUCUGGCAUUCGAGUCUGGCUGUAUCUCCUUCAAAAACCUUUUUGCUUUGUGGCUUGAAGAUGAAAGUUGGAGGCGUGUGAUGUUCUUUUGCUAAAUUAAAGAGGAAAGAUGAGAAGGAGUUACUAUUAUCUGCUCCAGCAAGAGAAUACUUAGAGCCUUGGGGAGGACUCAUUAAAGGGGGAAGAGAGUGGAAACUAUAAACACUGGCAUUUUACUAGUUUGCCUUCAGCCAGCAGCAAGGUUCCUGCACUAGAGACCUGCUGACUGCUGUGUGCUGCUGUAAUGUGCUUCCCUCCUGAACACUGCAGUUCAAUAAGACACUGAGUAGCUGCUGCCCCGCCAUGCACAGAUCAGCUCCUCCCAGCGAGGGGUAUCUGCAGGUGUUCAACUCUACCUGGAAACAGACUGUGUAAUGAAGCACGACAAAAACUCUUUAGCGUGGCCCUGCUCUACAGUGUCAGAUCAGUCAACCAUCUGGCUUGGGAAAGUGGAAUCGUCUUGAUUACUGAAGUGUGCAGAUCCCUCUGGGAGCUGCAGUGGCCGCUGAACGUCUCUGGAGCGCUGCGCUCUGCUCACAUGUCCUUCACAGCAGCUUGCUGACAAGGCUUGACACGAGACAGACACAAAUCAAUAGCUUGUUGUUAAAUGUUAGUGAGAUGGAAUUUCAGGGAGCCUUCAUGUUAAUGUCAUUUGGCACUUACGUGGAAUGAACACCAGAGAAGGCAAAGCAGGCUUGAACUUGGCUCCAAGAGUGAUACGAAGGUGGUCCUGGCAUCUGUUUCACUGUCUGAGAGGUGCUCUCAGGAAAGCGGGUGGCCUGUGCAUGAAGAGUAAACACGUCGUGUUCCGGAGUCGCUGGAUUUGGUGUGCAGAGUUCCUCUGCCAAUUCUGAAGUUCUCCAAACUCUGUUGCUCGCUCUUCUCUAUACAUCUGCUGACAGCGUAUCCUGUCUUGAUCAUGCCACCUCUGUCUUGCUCUAAGGUGAGUUUUGUUUUAUAGUUGGGACGUGAAUAUAAAGGUUUCAAAGCAUUCAAUGUAUUUACAACUGUGUGAUGGGGACAUAGUGUGGCAACUUUUUUUGCCAUUGUAGCACCCCAGGAGUUUUUAUCACAUGUGGAAAUAGUGAUAAUGCAGGAAAAUGUGAAGAUUUUGGCUUAAACAAGAAAAAUCAAAAGACUUUUUCCCUGUUUAGAUUUCAGUGAGUUAAAACACAAUAGUAGAGGCUGCUUCCAUAGCAAAUACGUACCAGUUGGGCUGCAAUGCAGCAGUGGGAAAAGCUCUUACACUAUUUGUUCUGCAGAUAACAUUUUCUGAGCUACUGAAGGGAAACUUCCACUCAGACAAGUUGCAAAUCCUUGCAAGGCAUCUAGAGAAACAGUGCUUCUAACACGCUGCUGAUGUCUGAGUACAAAUCGUGAGGUGCCGCAGUAAGAAGUUGCUGUGCCCUUGAGUCAUGAAUUCCCUUGAAACCUCCCUGUCUUAUGAUCCUGUCCUUCACCAAAAGGGAUGGCAGUGCCAUGAGCCCUGAGAAUGCUCUGUAGCUGUUUGCAUUGGUUUUAGUUAAGCGUUUGUAAUGCUGAGAAUUCACAGUGUUUUAAAUUCUUUUUCCCCUGGAAAAAGCAAAUAUCUCGCUUUUCACUGGUCUCUGUUUGUCUAAUUAGAGAACAUAUGAAGUGCUAAAGCAGUUUCCAGAACCGUUUGCUCAAGAACUGUCCUACUAAUAUUACAAGCAAUAAUGUUUAGCAGCUGGGCAGUGUGAGUGUUUCACAGGUGAUGUUUAUUUGUCAGGAGGAAUCAAAGUAUUUAAAUAACGUGCAGCAAUGGCACUGCUUUUGUACACAUACAAAAUUACAAUCAGUAAUCAGCCGAGUUCUCUGUUCUACAGAAUGACUUUCACAAUAAAUGCUGUUUACCAAGUAUCUAACUUUAGUUAUAUGUGCUUACAGUUAAACCAAUUAACCAUAAAGUACGAAGAUAUGUAAGGAUAUAUUAAUUUAAAUGAUUCUUUAUAAAUAUAUCAGCAUGGUCUGUGUGACCGAACUACCUCAAGCGUGUCGUGGUGCACUUUUUCAUUAUUUAAUCCCACAUCAGUGCUAAGAAUUUCUUUGUACAUUUGGGUAGUGUUUGUAAGUCCAGGUCCCCCAGCUUGCUUCCCAUGUUCGAUUCCGUGUGGCUGCUCCCCCAUGGAAGCUCCCUGUGCGACAUUAGGUUACCUCAAGUUACAGCGUUCUGGUGAGCAAAGCUGUUACAACUGCAUCCACGUUAUACCAAUAAAAUAUGGGAAAAUAACAUUUCCAGCAUUUUCUAACACAGGGCAAUAUUUGUCAGCUUAAUACUGAGUACUGUGACCUGAGCCAUCUUUAAAUAUUCCAUGUUGCACAGUUACGUACGUCUCUAUCACGUGUCACGUUGGAGUCCAUAAUACUCAUGUAUUAAAAAUAAG